rnacentral:lncRNA from 1 species
CUAAAGUCUAAGCUCCUCCACGGAGGCUGACCAGGCUGGUCUACCCCUCUUUUCAGUCUUCCGUUCGGUCCCUGCCCGGUCCCUUUGCGAGUGCAUAGUGGACCUGAUGGUCUUCUCCCUACUGCCCCUCACCCCCAAACUGUGCUUGGCAGACAAGGAGGCAAAAGCAGGGGAAAAGCUCUAUUAGCCAUAGCCCGGCAGCUGAGCUGGGGAAAGAAAGGAGCUGAAUAGAGGUGGUGGGGUUGGCAGCUCUCCAGCCCAGCUCCUGGGCUUUGAAUAACACCCCAGGCCCGGGGCUGGGAUCAAUGGGGGGAGCUUUGGGGCAUUUAAUUAUUUAAAGGUCUCAAUAAAGGACCUAAGUCCCCGAGGGGGGGGGGGGGGGAGACAGAUGGUGUGCUCCCUCCAUGAGCUGGGAAAGGGGGGUGCCGGCUGGGAGGUGUGGGGGAUGAGAGAGAAAGGGAGGGAAAGAAGGAGAAGGAAUUGCUUGUAAAGUAGGACUGCCUGCCAAGUUCUCAGGCACUCGGUACUUCUGCCUAUCACUCCUUAACUUCCAAGUUAGUGUCUGCCCUAUUUUGGAAAUAGACCACAAAGCUCUGAAGUUUAGGGGGACGUCUCUGGUGCUUGAAGUUGCUCUAAACUUGUUCAGUUAACUGGGCAGGACUGGACACGUGGGCCAGAAGAUUGUCUUUGGACUUCUUUUUUAAUUGUGGUAAAAUUCACUAAUAUGAAACAUUCCUGUUUCCUCUAGUCCUUCUUCAUUCCCUCCCAACUCUGAGGGGUGCUGGACCUAGUUCCUAGGGACUUUUGCAAAAGUAGAAAAUGAGUCUCUCUCUCUCUCUCUCUUUCUCUCUCUCCUGGGUUUUCCUACGUAGGACAGCCUGGCUUCAAACCUCACAGAGAUCUGCUUGUUUCUGCCUCCUGGGGGCUAGGAUUUAAGGCUUGUGUGCCACCACUCCCGGCUGAGCCACCACUUUCUUGGCAAAAGUAGAGGAAGGGCUACUUUGUGCAGAGGGGGACAAAGACUCAUUCCUGGUCCUCCUGCCUCAGCCAACUAAGUGCUAGUGCAACAAGAACACACUACCACAUCUGGCUGGAAGAUUACAACUUAAUGAUCAAGAUUGGAAGGGGUCCCCAGGAAAAGACAUAUUACCUGCAUGCCUCAUUACAGACCUACCAACACCUGCUACCUUUGCUCCGAAACCAGGAGGAAGGUGGUCCAGGUCAUCUCUGAUGCACCGGACACUGGGACAUCAGAUCAGCCUCACUCCCAGCACUGCAUCGGACCUUUGAGUGGCAUCUGAUGAAGCCUGCUCAGAGACGCCUAUGAGCCAUAGUUCAUCAGACAGCGGGGUGGGAUGAGGGCUGGAGAGGAAGGAGAGGUAGUGCUGUUUCUGAGAUCCGAGUCUCGAGUCAGGCCACCACUGAGGUAGAUCCUGUCACCAUAAGGACACACAAAAGCUUUGGAUUUGAGCAGAUAGUUCUGCCUGCUGGUCUCUCAGCUGGGAUGAAGGUCAAAACACUAGAUGGAAUCUUCAGUUGUGCUGUAAUAUUUUCAGUAAACUUGGAAUACGACAACGAAAAUAUCGUGUGUGUUCCCUAACCCCACCACACAUAAGCGCACAUGCUCCUAUAGACUCAGCAGUCAGCACCAUAGCAUCCAGUUCAAGAUUUGAGAAAGAGGUGGGCAGGGCUGCCACUGUUCUCUGCCACCUACUGGCUGAUUAGCACCUUGAGCAACGGUUACCCAUUCUGAACCUUGGUUUCCCUCUGUGUAAAAUACUAGUAAUGUCACCUACCUUCUAGAAUUGUGACCAAAGGCUGCA